rnacentral:rRNA from 1 species
UUCCGGUUGAUCCUGCCAGAGGUCACUGCUAUCGGGGUUCGAUUAAGCCAUGCGAGUCGAGAGGGUUCGGCCUCGGCGUACUGCUCAGUAACACGUGGAUAACCUGCCCUAGGGAAGGGGAUAACCCCGGGAAACUGGGGAUAAUACCCUAUAGAUUACAGAUGCUGGAAUGCCCUGUAAUCCAAAGUUCCGACGCCCUAGGAUGGAUCUGCGGCCGAUUAGGUUGUAGUUGGGGUAAUGGCCCAACAAGCCCGUAAUCGGUACGGGUUGUGGGAGCAAGAGCCCGGAGUUGGAUUCUGAGACACGAAUCCAGGCCCCACGGGGCGCAGCAGGCGCGAAAACUUUACAAUGCGGGCAACCGUGAUAAGGGAACCUCGAGUGCCUGUAAAUGCAGGCUGUUCAGGUGCCUAAAACACACCUGAAGAAAGGGCCGGGCAAGACCGGUGCCAGCCGCCGCGGUAAUACCGGCGGCUCGAGUGGUGGCCUCUUUUAUUGGGCUUAAAGCGUUCGUAGCUGGGUUGUUAAGUCUCUUGGGAAAUCUGGCGGCUUAACCGUCAGGCGUCUAAGGGAUACUGGCAAUCUUGGAACCGGGAGAGGUGAGGGGUACUUCGGGGGUAGGAGUGAAAUCCUGUAAUCCUCGAGGGACCACCUGUGGCGAAGGCGCCUCACCAGAACGGCUUCGACAGUGAGGGACGAAAGCUGGGGGAGCAAACCGGAUUAGAUACCCGGGUAGUCCCAGCCGUAAACUAUGCGCGUUAGGUGUAUCGGUGACCACGAGUUACCGAGGUGCCGAAGGGAAACCGUGAAACGUGCCGCCUGGGAAGUACGGUCGCAAGGCUGAAACUUAAAGGAAUUGGCGGGA